CAGUGUUGGCACACAAAUUGACGAGGCUUAGCGUCAUCUACGCUGGCUAUAGAUGUAGCUUGAGUCCUAAAACUCGAGCCUUGCUUCUUAUGGUUUCCAUGGGAGCAUCCUGUCGAUGCAUAAGAACGAGGAGGUACAUCUCUUGAUUUCUUGGAUUGUGUCGAAGCCGAUCUUCUCAUUAUUCUCUUUCUAACAUCUCUAGCCUCUGACUUGAUUUUCUUCUUUUCUUUCGUUAAUUUUUC
rnacentral:lncRNA from 1 species